rnacentral:rRNA from 1 species
AGAAUCAACGCUGGCGGCGUGCCUAACACAUGCAAGUCGAACGAGAAAGUGGAGCAAUCCACGAGUAAAGUGGCGCACGGGUGAGUAACACGUGACUAACCUACCCUUGAGUGGGGGAUAACCUAGGGAAACCUGGGCUAAUACCGCAUAAUACCUACGGGUCAAAGCAGCAAUGCGCUUGGAGAGGAGUUCGCGGCCGAUUAGCUAGUUGGCGGGGUAAUGGCCCACCAAGGCGAUGAUCGGUA